UACGUAGGGGGCAAGCGUUGUCCGGAUUUAUUGGGCGUAAAGAGCGUGUAGGCGGCCAGGUAGGUCCGCUGUGAAAACUCGAGGCUCAACCUCGAGAUGUCGGCGGAAACCAUCUGGCUAGAGUCCGGAAGAGGCGAGUGGAAUUCCCGGUGUAGCGGUGAAAUGCGCAGAUAUCGGGAGGAACACCUAUGGCGAAGGCAGCUCGCUGGGACGUUACUGACGCUGAGACGCGAAAGCGUGGGGAGCAAACAGG
rnacentral:rRNA from 1 species